rnacentral:rRNA from 1 species
AUGAUAUCUCUUCAUUGUUUACUCAUGACAGUGUUACCUAAGCUCUUCCUUCAUGAAGAACUCCAUACUGGGAGCGUAUUAGGCGCUAUCACCAUCGGCCUCUAUGUAGUCCUGUGGGGUACAGAAGACGAUGGAGAGAGUGAGAGCAUGGUGGAGGAGAACAGGCCCGACCCUCGCGUCGCCCACACCGGGCGACUCGAGGGGAACCCCAGCCGCCACCGACCGCCGCCCCUCCUCCCGGCCACCCCCGCGUCGCCGCCGCCGGAGGGCCGGCCGACGAAGCCGCGCCGGACCCAGGGAUGGCGGCGGCGAGGCCGUUCUUCCCCCAUCCCGCUUCACCCCACGCCCUUUCCCUCCACAGCUCCUCCAGAUCUGUCCCCUGGCGGCUCCAGCGGCUUCCACCGGCGCCGUGAGCGGCCUCCCCCGGCGGUGUCUUCCCCGCCCGCUGCUGGUGUGGUGGGUCUCCCUCCGGAUGCGGCUCCUCCUGCUGCACUGGUCCCGUCUGCCCCAUUUGGAUCUGGGGCCCAGCCGGUUGUGGUGCUCCCCAGCCCGCUUGCCGUGGCGGCCGGGCACGCCCUCCUUGCUGCGUCCACCCCUCCCCCGACCCCCGCCACUCGUCCCUCUGCCGUCGCGGGUUUCCUGGUGGUCGCGCUUCAGCACCAGAUCUGCGGGUUCAGGUGGCCUUGUCGGCCGGCUCCCCGUGCUCUCUCGUUGCGGCCUCGCGCUGGCCGUGGUGCACCUCAGCCUCUCCUUGUUGGGCGCGGCGCCCCGGCGUGUUGCUGCUUCUUUGGCCCUCCGUAG